UUUCCUGCCACUUCUUAAAGAUAUUUAACCAUCACAAAGUAUCCCAUAAUGCGGAUGGCAAAAAUCAAAGAGGAUUAAUGUGAAUAUGAAAGAGAACAAGUUGCAAAGCCGUGUGGGAUGCAAAGUGGAACAGUUUGAAGGAAUCUGCUGGGAGCUGUCAUGGACAUGAUGGGCUGAUUUGCCUCUGUGCUGUAAAAAAGUGAAAAAAAGGAAAGGAGCACCGUGCAAAGGUUUGGGCACCCCAAGAGAUUUGAGCUCUCAGAAAUGGACAGAUA